rnacentral:lncRNA from 1 species
UCAGCACAGUGUGCUGAAACACCCGCUGCUUCGAAUGGGAAUUUGGAAUUCCUGCUGUUAAACCUAUUAAUGCAGCCGGUGUCUAUGCAGUAUGUUGGACACAACUUUCAUGUUAGAAGGAAAGCUGGCCUGCUUCAACUGGAGAUUGCGUUUCUACUAGCCAAAUACCCUGACACAGGACUUGGCUUAACGCACUGCUGAUAUUACACAACUGAACCUCUUCUGUACACCUGAUGAAGGACUCAUUGGGACUCCAUUGGAUCUCUGCCCUCAUUCGCUGUUUUUUUGGUUAAACUUAAGCACAUUGUGUAGGUUGAAUCACGACUUUUCUGCCUGCAACCUGGAAAGCCAGAUUGGAUUUAAACUAACCUCUGCCUGCCCCCCACUCAGAGAACUACAGCCAACAAGACUUCAGGUGCUCCUUCCUACAGCAGAUGGUCCAGCUCACAGCCCCAUCAGUGAGGGAGCACAAGAUAUUGCCACAGAAGCCAAUCAAAUAGGUAAUUCUUCAGAAUUAUGGUUGUUGUUUUUGUUGUUGUUGUUGUUUGUUUUUAUUUCAUUUCUAUCUCAUAAAGGUACACCUUAUUUCCACUCCACUCUUUAGAAU